rnacentral:rRNA from 1 species
GCUAGCGUUGGUCGGAAUGACUGGGCGUAAAGGGCGUGUAGGCGGUUGACCAAGUCAGGCGUGAAAGCCCCGGGCUUAACCCGGGAACUGCGUUUGAUACUGGUUGACUUGAGGACGAGAGAGGAAAGUGGAAUUCCGAGUGUAGAGGUGAAAUUCGUAGAUAUUCGGAGGAACAUCAGAGGCGAAGGCGGCUUUCUGGCUCGUUACUGACGCUGAGGCGCGAAAGCGUGGGGAGCAAACAGG